CUCUCUCUCUCUUACCAUUUCUGUGAAACCCUAGCCGCCGCCCCUUAGAUCCUGACCUCCCUCAUGCCAAAAAUGGCGCGUCCACAGAUCUGGGCUGACAUGCGCAGUAAGUGCAUGCCUAUAAUGGUGAAAGUUUAAUGUUUACUCCAUUUUCAUGCUCUGCUUUACCCGAAUAUGGUAAAAUCUUCCUUUUACUAUAUUGUUUUCCAAUUUUUUGUCAAGAUUGUCUUUAUUUGUUGCUUUUACGAUUAUUUUCAUUGGUAUUUUGCUAUUGGUCCAUUUUCAUUAGGCCAGAUCGACCCAAGAGGGCCAGAUCUAACCGUGCAUUUACUUGUUUAUGAUCUAGAUCGUUGGUUUGUUGGCAAAUCUUUGUCCCACAGCGGUGUUUGUGGAUUUUGUUUCAAACUUCGGGGUUCUAUAAAUGGAACCCCAGUCUUUGCACAAAGGAGAGGUCUAGUUUUUGAGAAAAAAGGUCAAAAACUGAAAAAACUAAGGAAAGAGAUAUAAAAAGAAUUUUAGAAAAAAGAAGUGAAAAACUUAGAUUUUUUCAAAAGACUUCCGAGUAAAAAGAAUUUUAGAAAACCUAAACCAAAGAGUUGGGGUUUUAAUUGAAAUAUUUGGUCCUCAUUUGCUUUAUUUUCUUCGUGUGUGGCUGAGUUUGUUGAUUUGGAAGCACAGAGGCUCUCAAAUCCAUUCUUCCCUUGGCUGCGCGUGUAAAAGGUUAAUUUAGUUUAUUUCAUUUUUUAUUUAGCAUUUAAUAUUCUUCUUAUUCUGCUUAGUUUGGAUAUGUUUGUAGGUUGAUUAUGUUUAUAUGUUCAUGUCUUGUUGGGUUCUGUGUUUAAUGUGUGAUCUAUUUGGUAAAAACAGAAUAAAAAUAGAUGAAAAUGUCAUGUUAAAGUUCUUUUAAA